GGAGCUAUAAACAAAUCUUGAAUCUCAGCAAGAGGCCUGUGAAUCAGAAAUUUUCACUGCUGUGUCGUGAGAUUGAACAAUACAUCAAAGACAAGUUCAAGACAGGCAGUUGCUGUUCUCCAGGGGAAUACCUGUACUAGUAUCCUGUACAGCAGGCAAUGGCGCUUCUACUGGUACAACAAGAACCUGCAGAAGUGAAAGACUCGUGUACUAGAAUAGUCCAAUGUGAAGGAGCCUUCCUGAGCAGAAGGGAGUCUUGCACUCAGCCCCUUCUCACCAAAAGCUUGGUUUUUGCAGAACUAAAGCUUUAUGAAGCUGCAGCACAUUCAGGAGCAAGGCAAGUAAACUGCAGGCACUUAGAAAAUAAUGCAAGACUUUUUAAAGGUCCAGAAGUAAUUUUUAUGUAUUGUGGCAGUGUAUUAGUGUAAACCCUGACCUGUGGCCUUUCAGUUUGCCCUUUGAUUGUGUUCUGUUUUUGACUCUAUAUUGCUUAAAGCCACAUACAAAGGUAGAAAAACUAAAAGAAUCACAACAUUAUUUAAUCUUGAGUUUCAACAUUAUUUAAUCUUGAGUUUGUUUUUAGGUAGACUAUGGUAUUCUACUGUAAUUUGAC
rnacentral:lncRNA from 1 species